rnacentral:tRNA from 1 species
CAAGAAGUAGUUUAAAUAGAAUAUCAGCUUUGGGUGUUGAUGGUGGGGGAGUAGUCCUUCCUUCUUGA